rnacentral:snRNA from 1 species
GUGCUCACUUUGACAGCACACACACUAAAACUGUAAUGACACAGAGAAGAUUAGCAUGGCCCCUGUGCAAGGAUGACAUGCAAAUUAUUGAAGUGCUCUGUAUUUUU